rfam:Hordeum vulgare subsp. vulgare, WGS project CAJW01000000 data, contig: morex_contig_56177
ACUAAGAAGGGGAAGAAAGAGAGGGCCUAAGAGCAAUGGGAAUGAGAACAAAGAGGAAAGCCUAAUCUAUUGAUUCUUCACCUCUUGUGUUGAGGUGGAAAUUCAUUUUGGUAUUUCCUGAUGCCUCUCAUCCCUAUUAUUCUUAAGUGCUCCUUCCUCUUCCUUUUAGCC